rnacentral:rRNA from 1 species
AUUGAACGCUGGCGGCAUGCCUUACACAUGCAAGUCGAACGGUAACAGGCCGCAAGGUGCCGACGAGUGGCGAACGGGUGAGUAAUGCAUCGGAACGUGCCCAGUCGUGGGGGAUAACGCAGCGAAAGCUGUGCUAAUACCGCAUACGAUCUAUGGAUGAAAGCGGGGGACCGUAAGGCCUCGCGCGAUUGGAGCGGCCGAUGUCAGAUUAGGUAGUUGGUGGGGUAAAGGCUCACCAAGCCAACGAUCUGUAGCUGGUCUGAGAGGACGACCAGCCACACUGGGACUGAGACACGGCCCAGACUCCUACGGGAGGCAGCAGUGGGGAAUUUUGGACAAUGGGCGCAAGCCUGAUCCAGCAAUGCCGCGUGCAGGAAGAAGGCCUUCGGGUUGUAAACUGCUUUUGUACGGAACGAAAAGGUUUGGGUUAAUACCCUGGGCCGAUGACGGUACCGUAAGAAUAAGCACCGGCUAACUACGUGCCAGCCGCCGCGGUAA